rnacentral:rRNA from 1 species
AACGAACGCUGGCGGCAUGCCCAACACAUGCAAGUCGAACGAGAUCUUCGGGUCUAGUGGCGCACGGGUGCGUAACGCGUGGGAAUCUGCCCUUUGGUUCGGAAUAACAGUUGGAAACGACUGCUAAUACCGGAUGAUGACGAAAGUCCAAAGAUUUAUCGCCAGAGGAUGGGCCCGCGUAGGAUUAGCUAGUUGGUGUGGUAAAGGCGCACCAAGGCGACGAUCCUUAGCUGGUCUGAGAGGAUGAUCAGCCACACUGGGACUGAGACACGGCCCAGACUCCUACGGGAGGCAGCAGUGGGGAAUAUUGGACAAUGGGCGAAAGCCUGAUCCAGCAAUGCCGCGUGAGUGAUGAAGGCCUUAGGGUUGUAAAGCUCUUUUACCCGGGAUGAUAAUGACAGUACCGGGGGAAUAAGCUCCGGCUAACUCCGUGCCAGCAGCCGCAGUAA